UUGGUUUUAGCCUCUUUUGGGAGG
rnacentral:siRNA from 1 species